rnacentral:rRNA from 1 species
UAGGGAAUAUUGGUCAAUGGGUGAGAGCCUGAACCAGCCAUGCCGCGUGCAGGAAGAAGGCCUUCUGGGUUGUAAACUGCUUUUGCCGGGGGAUAAAAUUCCCAUGCGUGGGACAUUGAAGGUACCCGGUGAAUAAGCCACGGCUAACUACGUGCCAGCAGCCGCGGUAAUACGUAGGUGGCAGGCGUUGUCCGGAUUUAUUGGGUUUAAAGGGUGCGUAGGCGGCCUAUUAAGUCAGUUCUGAAAUAUCCCGGCUUAACCGGGAGGGUGGGAUUGAUACUGAUGGGCUUGAGUGGACUCGAGGUAGGCGGAAUUGACGGUGUAGCGGUGAAAUGCUUAGAUAUCGUCAAGAACACCGAUAGUGUAGACAGCUUACUAGAUUUCAACUGACGCUGAGGCACGAAAGUGUGGGGAUCAAACAGGAUUAGAUACCCUGGUAGUCCACACUGUAAACGUUGAUUACUCGCUGUGUGCGAUAUACAGUACGCGGCUUAGCG